AUUGAACGCUGGCGGCAGGCCUAACACAUGCAAGUCGAACGGUAACAGGAAGAAGCUUGCUUCUUUGCUGACGAGUGGCGGACGGGUGAGUAAUGUCUGGGAAACUGCCUGAUGGAGGGGGAUAACUACUGGAAACGGUAGCUAAUACCGCAUAACGUCGCAAGACCAAAGAGGGGGACCUUCGGGCCUCUUGCCAUCGGAUGUGCCCAGAUGGGAUUAGCUAGUAGGUGGGGUAACGGCUCACCUAGGCGACGAUCCCUAGCUGGUCCGAGAGGAUGGCCAGCCACACUGGAACUGAGACACGGUCCAGACUCCUACGGGAGGCAGCAGUGGGGAAUAUUGCACAAUGGGCGCAAGCCUGAUGCAGCCAUGCCGCGUGUAUGAAGAAGGCCUUCGGGUUGUAAAGUACUUUCAGCGGGGAGGAAGGGAGUAAAGUUAAUACCUUUGCUCAUUGACGUUACCCGCAGAAGAAGCACCGGCUAACUCCGUG
rnacentral:rRNA from 1 species